rnacentral:lncRNA from 1 species
GUGGGUGGAUAUGGGGGACUUUUGGUAUAGCAUUGGAAAUGUAAAUGAGUUAAAUACCUAAUAAAAAAUGGAAAAAAAAAAAAAGAACCUGAAAAAAAAAGAUAUGAAGCACGCACCACCAGGGCUGGCCCUUCCCGUGGGUUCUGGGGCCCAGACUCAGGUUGUCAUGCUUCCAAGGCAGGCACUCUGUUGGCUCAGCCAUCUGCUAGGCCCAGAGACUCCAACUUACACGAUCCUCCCUUCCUGGGACUCACUGAGCCGCUUUAGCACGAGGAAGCCACUGUCAUGGCAUGUUUGUUGUCAGAAGACAUGUUUAUUCCCUGCAUUCAUUUUCCAGGCAUUGGAACAUAGGCCAGGAAGGGCAACUAUACUCUCACGGAGACCUGCUGGAAUUGCUGUUGGCAUGGGAGACAUUGUGUCCUUAUGAGUCUUUCCCUGAGUGGUCAAAUGCUUUGGAGAAACAAUGCUUUUUAUAUUUCAUCAGAAUUAGGCAUGUAUCUUAGUGCUAACGACACUUAAAAAUAAAAAUAGAAGGCAUGAUAUUUGCAUGCUUUGUGGAUAACAUUUAUUGUAUGUUUGCUUUCUGUUUGGUUCCUCAAAUG